rnacentral:tRNA from 1 species
GGCCCGAUAGCUCAGUUGGUAGAGCAGAGGAUUGAAAAUCCUUGUGUCCCUGGUUCGAUCCCGGGUCGGGCCACCA